AUUGAACGCUGGCGGCAUGCUUUACACAUGCAAGUCGAACGGUAACAGGCCGCAAGGUGCUGACGAGUGGCGAACGGGUGAGUAAUGCGUCGGAACGUGCCCAGUCGUGGGGGAUAACGCAGCGAAAGCUGCGCUAAUACCGCAUACGAUCUAUGGAUGAAAGCGGGGGACCGUAAGGCCUCGCGCGAUUGGAGCGGCCGAUGUCAGAUUAGGUAGUUGGGGGGGUAAAGGCUCACCAAGCCAACGAUCUGUAGCUGGUCUGAGAGGACGACCAGCCACACUGGGACUGAGACACGGCCCAGACUCCUACGGGAGGCAGCAGUGGGGAAUUUUGGACAAUGGGCGCAAGCCUGAUCCAGCAAUGCCGCGUGCAGGAAGAAGGCCUUCGGGUUGUAAACUGCUUUUGUACGGAACGAAACGGUUCUGGUUAAUACCUGGGGCUAAUGACGGUACCGUAAGAAUAAGCAUCUACUAACUACGUGCCAGCCGCCGCCGUAAGAC
rnacentral:rRNA from 1 species